rnacentral:rRNA from 1 species
AGUGAACGCUGGCGGUAGGCCUAACACAUGCAAGUCGAACGGCAGCACAGUAAGAGCUUGCUCUUACGGGUGGCGAGUGGCGGACGGGUGAGGAAUACAUCGGAAUCUACUUUUUCGUGGGGGAUAACGUAGUGAAACUUACGCUAAUACAGCAUACGACCUACGGGUGAAAGCAGGGGAUCUUCGGACCUUGCGCGAUUGAAUGGGCUGGUGUCGGAUUAGCUAGUUGGCGGGGUAGAGGCCUACCAAGGCGAUGAUGGGUAGCUGGCCUGAGAGGGUGACCGGCGACAUUGGGACUGAGAUACGGCCCAGACUCAUACGGGAGGAAGCAGUGGGGAAUAUUGCAAAAUGGGCGGAAGCCUGAUGCAGCAACGCCGCGUGCGGGAUGACGGCCUUCGGGUUGUAAACCGAUUUCGCCUGUGACGAAGCGUGAGUGACGGUAAUGGGUAAAGAAGCACCGGCUAACUACGUG